CGAAAGCCAAACCGAUACUAUCGGGAGGAAGUGCCUAGGCCGGUAUUUAUGGGAAAAAGAUGCGUGGAAAUUUGGUAAGGCUACGUCCCAUCGGAAAUAAGAAAGGCAAUAAAUAGAAAGGGCGUCGCGAGGGACGGUCAAAGAAGAUAGUAAAUGUUCGUACAAAACGGUCAGUGUUUUACAGAUUACCCAGAAGGGUAUCGAUAGCCGUGAUUGCCCGACGCCGGAUCUGAUCGGCAGAGUCAAGGACCCGUUGGUCUUCAUCCGCCGAUCCGGGGACCUCUGAUGCGCUGCGGUGGAGUUUUAGGGCCUCGUGAGCAAAGCGCUGCCUCUCCCGUGUCAAAUCGGCAAUGACAGAAGGUAGCUCUUGGAGCUUUUUCUCUUCGGCACUGAUUGCCUUGGUCACUUGCUCCAUCUCCUUGGCAAGCUCCGCCCUCCGACGCUUGAGGCGGUCUAUCUCACCGAUGAUCGCCGGGCGGGAAUCUUC
rnacentral:lncRNA from 1 species